AGAAGCUAAAAGGCCCUGGCCUGGAAACAUCUCCAUUUUGCCUCCUUCCUGCUCCAGCCUCUGGACUAUGAACAUCUACCAAGGGGAGCAUUCUAACCACGGGACUGAGGACUUCAAGCACAUAGAUUCAUUACCCCGGAGACCAGACUCCCAGGCUUCAGCUUUCCUGUACAGACCACGUAUCCAUCAUUUUGUACAGAGCUCCAUGACACAGGCUGAGUCCACAGCAAAGACGCAGCAGGGAAUCGGAGCGCAUUUGGAUGGAACUGUCUCUGACUGACAAUUCAAAAUUAAGAUCCAAAAACACUGUGGAAGACACUUCGUCCCCCACGGAGCUGCAGGACUCCCAACCUGCCAACGCUCGGAUGUGGUCCCCAAAGGGAGAGACACACAACGAGGGACACACAAAAGGAAUGACUUUGCCAAAGAUACAUUGUCUUUGCAGGAGAAGGCACGUCCAAGGAGGGGAGGGAGUGGAGAUGGUUCUUCGCAUGCAACCAGGUUCAGAGGACUAUUCACUCUAUUCCUCAGUGUAAUUAGAC